rnacentral:rRNA from 1 species
GUUGAUCCUGCCAGUAGUCAUNUGCUUGUCUCAAAGAUUAAGCCAUGCAUGUCUAANUACNCGCCUUUAUNNNNNNNNNNNNNNNAUGCUCAUUAAAUCAGCUAUGGUUUAUUGGAUCAUACCCGUUAAAUGGAUAACUGUAAUAACUCUAGAGCUAAUACAUGCCACGAAGCCCUGACCCGCGAGGGAAUGGGUGNANUUAUUAGAUCAGAAGCCAACCGUGCAUUAGUCGAAAGGUGGUGUAUGUUGUCGUUCUGGUGACUCUGGAUAAUUGUUACAGAUCGCAGUCGGCCAUGAGUCGGCGACGGGUCCUUCAAAUGUCUGCCCUAUCAACUUUCGAUGGUAGGUGACCUGCCUACCAUGGUAAUAACGGGUAACGGGGAAUCAGGGUUCGAUUCCGGAGAGGGAGCCUGAGAAACGGCUACCACUUCCAAGGGAGGCAGCAGGCGNGNAAAUUACCCACUCCCAGUACGGGGAGGUGGUGACGAAAAAUACCGAUGCGGGACUCCGAAAAGAGGCUCCGUAAUCGGAAUGAGUCUUUAAAUCCUUUCACGAGGAUCAAUUGGAGGGCAAGUCUGGUGCCAGCAGCCGCGGUAACUCCAGCUCCAAUAGCGUAUAUUAAAGUUGCUGCAGUUAAAAAGCUCGUAGUUGGAUCUCGGUAUCACUGUUGCCUGUCAGUCUUUGGAAUGGAUCGGCUAUCGGUGCAUAGGCGAUGCUUGUGUUAUCGUAGUCGUCUGCUUCAAGUUGGCGUGGUAGUGGUGUCACCUUUCAGCCAUGUCUGUGGUGAAAUAUCUGCAGGUGUAGGCGAGUGUCAGCGGUGCCUUGCAACAGUAAGGUUCGUCGGCUCGUUUGCAUGCCUUUGGAUGCCCUUCAAAAGGUGUCCGUAGGCGGAUGGCACGUUUACUUUGAACAAAUUUGAGUGCUCAAACCAGGCCGAUGUUGCCUGAAAAGUUUUGCAUGGAAUAAUGGAAUAGGGUUCUAUUUCGUUGGUUUUCGGAUCCGAAGUAAUGAUCAAAAGAGACAGGCGGGGACGUUUGUAUGGUUGCGCUAGAGGUGAAAUUCAUGGACCGUAGCCAGACAAACUAAAGCGAAAGCAUUCGUCAAGCAUGUUUUCAUUGGCCAUGAGCGAAAGUCAGAGGCUCGAAGACGAUCAGAUACCGUCCUAGUUCUGACCAUAAACGAUGCCAACUGACGAUCCGUGGUGGUAGUACAAUAACCUUCCCCACGGGCAGUCCCCGGGAAACCUUUAAGUCUUUGGGUUCCGGGGGAAGUAUGGUUGCAAAGCUGAAACUUAAAGGAAUUGACGGAAGGGCACCACCAGGAGUGGCAUGGCGGCUUAAUUUGACUCAACACGGGAAAACUCACCCGGCCCGGACACUGUGAGGAUUGACAGAUUGAUAGCUCUUUCUUGAUUUGGUGGUUGGUGGUGCAUGGCCGUUCUUAGUUGGUGGAGCGAUUUGUCUGGUUAAUUCCGAUAACGAACGAGACUCUAGCUUGCUAAUUAGUGCAUCUGUCCACUGUUCCUGUGUAGGCGGCGUUUGGCGAUGCUGCUCAUGUAAGCUGCGUAGGUUGGCGCGUUGGGUGCGGAAGCUCUUUCGGGGGUGGAAGUGUUCUUCGUGUUGGCUUACGUGGUAUGUGCGGUUGGUUCAGCGUUAGCUUCCGGGUACGGCGCGGAUGUCUACUUCUUAGAGGGACAAGCGGGAGAAGCCGCACGAAAUUGAGCAAUAACAGGUCUGUGAUGCCCUUAGAUGUCCGGGGCCGCACGCGCGCUACAAUGACGGUGCCAACGAGUCUGACCUUCUGGCCCGAAAGGGUUGGGUAAACUGGUCAAUCACCGUCAUGACAGGGAUCGGGGCUUGGAAUUGUUCCCCGUGAACGAGGAAUUCCUAGUAAGUGCAAGUCAUAAGCUUGCGCUGAUUACGUCCCUGCCCUUUGUACACACCGCCCGUCGCUACUACCGAUUGAAUGGUUUAGUAAGGUCCUUGGAUUGGCGCUCAUUGAGGUGUAUGCCCAGCAAGUGCUGAGAAGACGACCAAACUUGAUCAUUUAGAGGAAGUAAAAGUCGUAACAAGGUUUCCGUA